GGAAGAGUGACACUUGUCAUUCACAUUAUUAGCUUGACAGAAUACAGCAAUCCUAUUUUCUCUUAGUUGGUAUCUACUGCUAUGAAAGUGUAUGCUGUUGAAUUGUCACUUGUUAUUGAGAGGCACAGUAGUUACUACAUUUCUUGUUAAAACACUGAAGGGGUAUCCAAAAGCUGUGUAAGUAAAGCCUAAGCAACACAUUGGGAUUCAUAAUGAUUCACCACAACAAGGAUGAUUCAAAAAUCGGAAAUUUGUUUGCAAAGACACAGCAUGCACUGAAGACUGGUGAGCUCAGUCCAUGUUCUGAACUAAUCUUGUUCCAGUUGAAUAAGCAAGAAUCCAGACAUGAAUAACAAGGACUCGUGAAUAAUAACAAUUCAUGAACAGCAUUCAUUAACCAUUCAUCCACAAGUUGCUAAAAUGUAUCAAGACCUCUUAAUUGCAUUCUAUGCUUCUGAAAAUACAGUUUGGCAAAAAAAAAGAAAAAACCUUAAAUGAUCCACGAAAAUUUACAUUUUGCAUAGGCUUUCUCUAAAGGACAAAAUCUUUCUCAUUCCGCGGUUCACUCAUAAGAGCUACCUCUAAAAAGUAAUGUGAGUAUGAUAAGCAAUACAUUCAUUUGCUAUGCUUAUUUAAUAACAUUUUUGUAAUAUAAGAAUUAAAUUUGGGAGCACGUAAACAUGAAACAAGAAGCAAUAAUGUGGUAAGACUGGGUUUGGGGGGAGCACGCUAACUGGAUUGAACAAGCAGACAUGUCUUAUCUGAGGUAAGCGUUUUUCAGAAGCAAGUUCCAUCACUGACAGAUUUUAUUUGGUUUUCAAGGCUAAGUUUCUUACUUCCAUAACACAUCAUUAUAUGAAAGUGUGGCAAUUAACUUUGAAAUUUUCCUUCUGCCUUUUUUUAAUUACAUGAAACAAAACUAUCAAUAUGCUAUCACUCAGAAAUUAGAACUGUUAAUGUUUUUAAGUUUGCUUAUGAAAUUACUGUGUGAUUACUUCACACUCUAGCAGGCGAAUGUAAAUAUAGUCUACUGUGAAUCUGCAGCAAUUCAGAAACUUUGAUAGAACAUUGUGCAGCUAUUGCAAGGCUUGAAAAUGUGAAACCGUUUUCUUUACCUCUGUGCCUGAAAAUUGUUUCUACAGUUAAGAAUCUGGCUGAGCAUUGCAUGAUUUUCCUCCCACUCAUGCCUUCCUCCAGCCCAAAACCAUUGCAUUUCCUUACUGUUCCUCCUUUCAAUCUGUUACAAGUUCAAUAAAAGUCUGUGAGACAUUGCUUUAAGCCCUUCAAAUACGCUUCAAGAUGUGCCAAAGUUUGCCCAGACUUGGCAAUUCAGAGCAUCCCUACUGCCUUAUGAAUUGAAAAACCUGGUUCAAAAAUACCCCAGAUACCUAUUAUCUGUGGAUCACUGACAAGAUAAAGCAGACUAGCUUUCAAGGAACCAUUUGGGUCAGUGGUGUUGCUUUGUACACAGUACCUGGGGAAUCUUUCAUCCAUCACCCAUUCACACAGUUCAGAACCAUUCCAGACUACCCAGGUUUUGCUUAGGGAGAAUCAAGGCAAAAAUCUCUUAAGCUCAGCCUCCUAAAAACUCUUAUUAAGGCUUCUGAUUGAUCUGUGGAUGACUAGUUUUCUGCGUUAAUUCAUUGUUCUAAAACAUGGGCCUGUCAUGGGGUUGGCCCUUAUUCCACUCUGGCAUCACUUGGAAACCAAAGAAUUGUGUCAGCUUCCAGGAGGUUAAUCAGAGGAUGUAGCUAAAAGACAUCCAGGGUUUUCAUGUCUGCUAUUUCUCAUCCACAAGAGCACUAAAGGUAGCGCUAUGAAUAACAGCAGGACAUGGGCAAUAACAAGCCAUCACUGACCUGCUGCCUCUAAAUUCCCUGUAGUCUUCCUCCAGGUUUGAAGCAUUUGUAAUCAAGGUCUGUCCUGAUCUAGUGCAGGCAUGUAACCUGGGAUGCAGCUUCAUAGAAAACUGCCACGUUGUGAGAAAACAUCAUGAUCAACCUCCUCUGGGUCUUCAGCUGUGGUGGGACCUUCACAGAGCUCAGGCCCCCACCUGCUGGAGGCACCUUGCUGCUCUGACUGCACCUGACCUUUGAUGCUGAUGGCCUUGAUCAUGGUCCUGACUUGCCUUCUGGGCUUCCCAGCAAAGCCUCAUACCUGCCUCAUGGCACCACAGAGCAUUGGGCUGUCCUGGCCAUGUCCCCAGCCCCUCCCAUACAUCAGCCCCCUCCUGACCAACCAUGGCUUAACCCAGGUCAAUAUUUGUAAGGUCCCAGGGGGGAGGGGUUAUGUGGGUCCGUAGAUGCACAGUCAUGCAGAUGGCAUUGUCAGGAGGAACGUGACUUCUUCCACAGUCAUUUUCUCUGUGAUGCUGGGCAAAAGGAGAAUCUUCCUUAUGUCACAUGCCAAUCUGUUGUGAGACAGGAAAGACAGGAAACAGCACCAUCAGCCUUGG
ensembl:lncRNA